CUCGUUUGCUAAGUCAAACGACACUGCUGGUCCUGCUCACACUGCCCUACCCUGUGCUUUGACCUCUUUCUCCCCUCUCUCUCCAGAUGAAAUCUCGCGUCUUGUGACGGCCGGCCGCCCAACAACCUGCCCACUUGACCCUAUCCCCUCCUCUCUUCUCCAGACCAUUUCCGGAGACCUUCUCCCCUACCUCACCUCGCUCAUCAACGCAUCCUUGACCGCUGGCUACGUCCCUUCCGUCUUCAAGAGAGCGAGAGUUGCACCCCUUCUGAAAAAACCUACACUCGAUCCCUCCGAUGUCAACAACUACAGACCUAUCUGCUGCCUUUGAUACCGUGAACCAUCAGAUCCUCCUCUCCACCCUCUCCGAGCUGGGCAUCUCCGGCACCGUGCACGCUUGGAUUGCGUCCUACCUGACAGGUCGCUCCUACCAGGUGGCGAAUCGCAUCUCUGCAUGUCUGGCAGACAUAUCAGUGUGGAUGACGGAUCACCACCUCAAGCUGAACCUCGGCAAGACGGAGCUGCUCUUCCUCCCGGGGAAGGACUGCCCGUUCCAUGAUCUCGCCAUCACGGUUGACAACUCCCUUGUGUCCUCCUCCCAGAGUGCUAAGAGCCUUGGCGUGACCCUGGACAACACCCUGUCGUU
rnacentral:lncRNA from 1 species